rnacentral:misc_RNA from 1 species
UCUCCGUAGGUGAACCUGCGGAGGGAUCAUUACAGAGUUCAUGCCCUACCGGGUAGAUCUCCCACCCUAUGUUAUUAUUACUUUGUUGCUUUGGCGGGCCGUUAGGCUCCGGCCCGACUACCGGCCCCGGCUGGUAAGCGCCCGCCAGAGGACCCAAAACCCUGAAUAUUAGUGUCGUCUGAGUACUAUAUAAUAGUGAAAACUUUCAACAACGGAUCUCUUGGUUCUG